GGCAUUCAUUUAGGGCGAAUUUAACAUUACAUUUUAUGGUGCCAUCAGCUGUGACGAUGCGACUACCUAAUAUAUCUGCCUUGCAUGUUAUGAACGAACGUGCUUACCAGCUGACAGCCGGUGUUUGGUUGUUGAUGUAAUAGUUAAGUUAGUAAAUUAGGAAAAUGUUAAAAUCGUUUAGUAUUUCGCUAUGGAAAUUGAAAAAUAAUAAUUGCUUUCUAAGUCUUCAACUAUCAACACACCUGCGUCUACUAUCAUCCACUUCUAGCCCUGCUGUCAAGGACUCGAAUAAUGAAAAUGAUUUGAUUAAUAAUUUUGCCGAUAUACCUGUCGAUCGGAUACGUAACUUCAGCAUAAUUGCCCAUGUAGAUCAUGGUAAGAGUACACUUGCUGAUCGUAUACUUGAAUUGACCGGAGCAAUAAAAGCCAAUUCCGGUAGUCAAGUUCUGGAUAGUCUACAAGUCGAAAAGGAACGUGGUAUCACAGUAAAAGCCCAAACCGUAUCCAUAUUUCAUAGAUACAAAAAUGAAACAUAUCUAUUGAAUCUAAUCGAUACACCGGGUCAUGUGGAUUUUUCAAAUGAAGUUUCGCGCUCCUUGGCUGCCUGUGAUGGUGUUAUUUUGUUGGUUGAUGCCUGCCAUGGUGUUCAGGCCCAAACAGUGGCUAAUUAUCAAUUGGCUAGAACACGUAACUUAGCUGUAGUGCCGGUAUUGAAUAAAAUUGACAUAAAACAUGCAGCUCCUGAAAAAGUAUGCAAAGAUUUAAAGAAUCUUUUUAGCAUAGAUCCGGAAAGGGUUUUAAAGAUUUCAGCAAAAUUAGGAAUAGGCGUUCCCGAGGUACUGAAUAGGGUCAUUGAAGUUGUACCCCCACCAAAAGUUUCUCGUAAUUCCCCUUUCCGUGCAUUGUUGUUUGAUAGUUGGUUCGAUCGUUAUCGUGGGGCCUUAAACCUAAUAUACCUAUUAAAUGGCAAGUUAGAAGUGGGUCAAGAUGUACAGCUAUACUCAACGAAAAAAGUAUAUCCCGUAAAAAGCAUUUCCAUAUUGAGGCCAGCAGAAACUGAAGUCAAGUGUAUAUCUGCCGGUCAAGUUGGCUUAAUUGCAGUAAAUAUGCGCAAUAGUAAAGAAUCCAUUAUAGGUGAUACAUUCCAUCUGAAAAAUGAACCAUGUGAACCGGUGGGUAGUUUUAAGCCACAACAGCCUAUGGUUUACGCUGGAGUGUUUCCAUCUGAUCAGUCGAAACAUGUGGCCCUUCGCAGUGCCAUUGACAAGCUGAUAUUGAACGAUUCUGCUGUAACAAUGAAAGUCGACUCUAGUCCUGCAUUGGGUCAAGGUUGGCGUUUGGGUUUUUUGGGCCUUCUACAUAUGGAGGUUUUCUGCCAACGUCUGGAACAAGAAUUCGGAGCUGAACCAAUUAUAACAGCGCCCUCUGUAACAUAUCGCAUUGUGCUGAAAAAUCCAAAAAUGAUUAAACAAAUGGGCACAGAUACUAUGGAAAUAUCCAAUGCAGCUCUUUUCCCCGAGCCGAUUAACAUUAAAGAAUACUAUGAACCCUUGGUGAAAGGCACAAUUAUCACACCAACAGAAUAUGUGGGACAAAUAAUUAGUUUAUGUGUGGAACGUCGAGGUGUCCAAGAGAGUUCUAUUAACAUAGAUAAUGACCGUAUCCUUAUGAAUUAUGUACUGCCUUUAAGUGAAAUAAUUCUAGACUUUAAUGAUCGCCUUAAGUCCAUUAGUUCGGGCUACGCCAGUUUUAAUUAUGAAGAUUACGGCUAUCAUUUAACUAAUUUAGUUCGAUUGGAUAUUCACUUAAAUGGCAGACCUGUAGAGGAACUUUGUCGUAUUGUGCAUGUUAGUAAAGCCAAGGAUAUUGGCCGUGACAUGGCAACGAAAUUAAAGGAAACAAUACCAAAACAAAUGGUGCAAAUAGCCAUACAGGCAUGCGUGGGAAGUAAAGUGUUGGCUAGAGAAACAAUCAAGGCAUAUCGCAAAGAUGUUACGGCCAAACUGUAUGGUGGUGACGUUACACGACGUAUGAAACUUUUACGCCAACAAGCUGAGGGCAAAAAGAAAAUGCGUCAAAUUGCUAAUAUUAAUGUGCCACAUGAAACGUUUAUUAAUGUCUUAAAACGUUGAAAGCAUACAAGGAAUUAUGAUGGAACAUCAAUGUAGAUAUAAGAAAACAAGUUUGUCCGACAUUCAAUAAAGCUCUUCUAAAACAAUCCCACAUUUUAUUUUCGAUGAGGAUUCUCUGAAAAACUCACUGUCAGCAAAAAUUGACCAAUAUCGUCAUCAAUAUAUAUUCAUCUUGGAAAGUUCUUAAAUGAUUUUAUAGAAACAAGCAUGAUCAACAGCGUAAAUACUUUGGAAUUUCUUAAACCAAAUUUGUUGGGUAUGGAUAAGGUUGGUAGCACCAACUCAACCGCAAGAACACAUCAUCAUCAAUUGUUUGGACACACUGCAACUAGGAACUUUUACAACAUUGUUGGCGGUGCUGACCACCAGGUGGCUCACGAGGAACCAAAUCAGGAACGCGUUAAGGUGCAACUUUUGCAGAAUCACAAAAAAUUACAAAAUAAUGAUUGUGGGAUUAAUAUUUUCGAUUUAAUAAACACCUCCAAAUAUAAAAUUAUGGAUGAUGCUGAUGGUGUGUGCCCCCAGCAACAAGAACAAGAGGAAGGAGAGAUACAAAACGAGAGGGAAACUGAUGCUGACUUGGAAACAAAAAGUGCCUUUAAUCUAGACUUAAAUAAACAGAAAAUCUAUAGAAACAACAACAAUAAUAAUAAGUCAUCACCAACACCAGAGACAAAUAACAAUGAUUUGUUUUUCAAACAAAAUCUCCAACAAAAUGGCUUUAUAAAUAAACAACCGCAGCAUCAACCACAACAAAAAACAAUGAUGGUUUUAUUGCCACGCCGUACUGAAGAUCAAGAACAUGCUCAUCGACGCAUUGAAAUCGUUCAUAAUUAUGCAAAAUUGAAGUCGUACGAAGAUGAGUCGUCAGAAAGUCAAUCGCCAAACGGUAGCCGUAACAGCAGCUACUUGGACGACGAGGAAGACGAUGAUGACGAGGACGACGAAGAAGACUAUGAAGUGGAUGAUGACAAUAAUGAUGCUGACUAUGAUGCCGAAGAAGAUGAGAUGAUUGAUUUGGAUGGUGUUUAUGAAGAUAUAUUCAAACGUAGAAAACUCCCCAAAUUAACCAAGCAAACAUCAAUGGAUGCUGGUGCAUUUAGAAUGGUGGAAAAACCAAAGUCCGGUAACAGCAACAAUAAAAGGUGUAAUAGUUUUAGCGCACCACCACAAAAACUUCAAACUGCAACAAAGGACCAAAAAAGUGACGAAGAUGUUGACAUACACGUUGAUGUAGACGUGGAAACAGUAGAUCAUGCUGCAGAUGUCCAAAAUCGCCCAAUCACAGCUACACCAGCAAAUUGUGGAAUAUCUAGUGAUGAUGCUGUCAUAAGUAAGCCCGACCAUCAUGCUCGUCGUCCAAUGAAUGCCUUUUUAAUAUUCUGCAAACGUCAUCGUGCCAUUGUCAAGGAUCGUUAUAAGAAUUUGGAAAAUAGGGCAAUAACAAAAAUCUUGGGUGAUUGGUGGGCAUCAUUGGAUGUCAGCGAUAAAAAAUGUUUUACGAAUUUGGCUCAACAGAAUAAGGAUGCCUUCUUCUCGGCCAAUCCCAAUUUUAAAUGGUACAAACUGCCAGCACCUCCCCUACGUACUCUGAAUACACGCCCAAAUGCUGUUGGCGAUGGUAUUGGAGAUAUGUUGGAACAAGACGAUGCCAUCAACCAUCAACAUAUGACAGUUGUCAACAAUACCACCACCACCACCACCCCUGUGCCCGUGGUUAAUAAUAUGACCAAUCAUAGGAAUUUUUUCAAAUUAGCUGAUGAGGCACAAAUGGGCGAUUUAAGUCAAUUGAUGCAAAAUAAAUCGGGAACUCAACAAUGUGCACUCCAACAGGCCCUCGGUGAAACAUCACAGUUCAUAAGGUCUUACAUCACCGGCAACGUAGAGGAGCCGGAAAUUGAAAUGCAACGGAAACAUCAGUCCCUGAAACGUCCCAUCUACAAUGAGAACAGUUUUUCUAGUAACAGCAGCGAAGAAGAUGCUCUAAUACCAAAGAAAAAAAGCUCCAGAUCAUGUAAGGGUAAAAUAUACCAAGAAUUAAUAAAUUCUGGUCAAAUAGCAGCACCAGCUAUUAAAAAAUCCAAAUCAAUGCAACGGGUGACAACUGAAUCGACAACCCAACAAAGUUCAAAUUGUUUUUCGGAUUACAUAGGCCAUAGACAUUCAAAUGAAACCACCAACCAGAUGAUGGUAAACAUUAACAACAACACUAAUGCCAGUACACAAUUGGAGAAGCAAGAUGUUUUUGAUUCAAACUCCGAAACGGCGAAUAACACUAGUCCACAUGAUAUGGCCAGCUUCGAUUUGGAGGAGAAAAUCAAAGAACUUCCAGCCUUAAGUUUAGACGAAUAUCUGCAACGUAAACGUAAUACUAAAAAGAAAAAGAAGUUUACCACCAAUGGCAAAAAACGCAGCAACCGCGGCAACAGCAGCACAACUGGUAGUGUUCAAGGUAAUAAAGCGAAUGCUAUGGGCAAGGGUUCCCAAAAUCCAAUUUCGACAUCAUAUGGCUAUAAUAUCCUGGAUCCCCGAAUAAUUCAACAAAGAAGACAACAACAGCAGCAGGCAGUUGGUAGUCAAAAACGUAAAGCACGCAAAGAAAGCAUUACCCGAAGAGAUGUUUCGGCCAUUGAGGAGGAAGUUGCCUCCCUGAUGCCUCUAACCAUAAAUGGUUGUUGUUAUUAUCAGGAAGCUUCUUUGCCAUUGUCAUCAUCAUCAUCAUACAAGAAUAAUACAAAAGACAUGAACUCUAAUCCCGAAUCAACAUCACCAAUCAUUCCAACAGCAACAGCUCACCCAACAACCGGUGGUGAGCUGCAAAUGUCCAAAAAUACGAGCAAAGAGUUGUUGACCAACAAUACCUUAAAUGACAAUACAUCAUCUACCUCAGAUUUACUCAUACUGGCCGAAGUCGCUGCCAAUCGCACUGAAUAAAAAAAGAGUAGUUCUUAAAACAAUGAAAUACUGAUAAGGAAAAAGAAACACAUUUAGAAAAUCAAAUGAUAUUUAUCUAGAGACAUCAUGUUAGUAUAUAAGUUAAACAAUCUCCUCUUUCCCACCCCUAAUCUACUACUACUACACUUAUAACUUCCAUCACAAAUAUAUAUUUUUAAAAUGUAAUUUAAAAAAAAAAUCAGUCAAUUUAUGACGAUAUUAAAAACAAUAUUGGCGCCAGUAUGGAUUCUAAAUAUCUAUUUUAAUUGUAAUGGCUUUAUUGUGGAAACAUAAAUUCUAUUUUCACAAAAAACAAAUGGUAUAGCUCAAAUUUGGCAAUGAAUUCUCAAGAAUGUAAAGCAAAUCAUAUUUUCCCCAUACAAUAGUCAAGUGUGUUUAAAGAUCUCUCUUUUUCGCUCAAGUGAUGGAUAUUAAACUUUAAUUUACAAUUAAUGUUAUUAACUCAUGCUUUAAUCAUUUGUUUAACCCUAUGGUCAUUUCAAAAUGAAUCCACCAAAAUGUGCAAUACAGUUAGUAAUGAAAAUAAACAGAUAAAAUAGCCUAACCGAAUAAUCGAAAAACAAAGCAAUCGGCAAACAAUCAAAAGUCUUGAACAAGUUAAGGCUGUGAAAUCAAUUGAUUUCCAAUUUUAUUGUUUUUUUAUUGUUUCAACAUGAAUAAAGUCAAUAUUUUUGUUAUUGUUAUUAAGAAAUGUUUUUAAGAAAAGAGUAGGGGGAUUUCUU